rnacentral:rRNA from 1 species
UACGUAGGGUGCAAGCGUUGUCCGGAAUUAUUGGGCGUAAAGAGCUCGUAGGCGGUCUGUCGCGUCUGCUGUGAAAACUCAGGGCUUAACCCUGAGCUUGCAGUCGAUACGGGCAGGCUAGAGUUCGGUAGGGGAGACUGGAAUUCCUGGUGUAGCGGUGAAAUGCGCAGAUAUCAGGAGGAACACCGAUGGCGAAGGCAGGUCUCUGGGCCGAUACUGACGCUGAGGAGCGAAAGCGUGGGGAGCGAACAGG